AUUAAGCUGACUGAGGAAGGCAUGUUUGAAGCUGAAACAGACUGAAAGCAAGUCCUCUUGCACCAAAAGGCCAAGUUGUUAAAGCAAAGGAAAAAUUAUUGAAGUAAAUUAAGUGCUACUCUAGUAAACACAAUUGAUAAGAAAGCAAAACAGCCUUAUUGCUGGUACAGAGAAAGUUUGAGUCGUUUGGGUAGAAGAUCAAACCAGCCACAACAUUCCCUUAAGCAAAAGCCUAAUCCAGAGGGCCCUAACUCUCUUCAAUUCUAUGAAGACUAAGAGAGGUGAGAAAGCUGCAGAAGAAAAGUUGGAAGCUAGUAGAGUUUGGUUCAUGAGGUUUAAGGAAAAAAGCCAUCGCUAUAACGUAACAGGUCAAGAAGGAAGUGUUGAUGUAGAAGCUACAGCAAGUUAUCUGAAAGAUCUAGCUGACUAGAACCCAGACAGGACUCUGACUCAGCCUCCACGCAGACAACAGCAAGGCCAUAGAGAUGGUGGAGCCAUACACCGAAGGAACCUGAGUCACUCUGUGACUGCCCAGAGAAAAGCUGUCCCAUUCACCUGAACUGGACACCUUGGACUAUUAUGUGGAAGGGAAAUAAACUUCUUUGCUCUUUAGGCUGCAUCACUGGAUCUCUU
rnacentral:lncRNA from 1 species